rnacentral:rRNA from 1 species
CCCGGCGAGGGGAGUGAAAAAGAACCUGAAACCGUGUACGUACAAGCAGUAGGAGCCUCUUUAUGGGGUGACUGCGUACCUUUUGUAUAAUGGGUCAGCGACUUAUAUUCUGUAGCGAGGUUAACCGCAUAGGGGAGCCGUAGGGAAACCGAGUCUUAACUGGGCGAAUGAGUUGCAGGGUAUAGACCCGAAACCCGGUGAUCUAUCCAUGGGCAGGUUGAAGGUUGGGUAACACUAACUGGAG